GGACGCUUCACCGGUUUCGGCCGGUGGGGAGUGGCGCACGGGUGAGUAGCGCGCGGGAACCUGCCCUGUUGUGGGGGAUAACCGAGGGAAACUUCGGCUAAUACCGCAUGCGCCCCCGGACUUGUUCCGGGGGGAAAGAUUUAUCGCAGCAGGAGGGGCCCGCGUCGGAUUAGGUAGUUGGCGGGGUAACGGCCCACCAAGCCUUUGAUCCGUAGCUGGUCUGAGAGGAUGAUCAGCUACACUGGGACUGAGACACGGCCCAUACUCCUACGGGAGGCAGCAGUGGGGAAUAUUGGACAAUGGGCGCAAGCCUGAUCCAGCAAUGCCGCGUGAGUGAUGAAGGCCUUCGGGUUGUAAAGCUCUUUCGCCCGCGACGAUGAUGACGGUAGCGGGAGAAGAAGCCCCGGCUAACUUCGUGCCAGCAGCCGCGGUAAU
rnacentral:rRNA from 1 species